rnacentral:lncRNA from 1 species
CUUACUUUCCAGUUUGAAAAAAAACUACAGCAAAAUUAUGAAAUAAGGUAAUAAACAGAAAUGAACCUUCCACCUUAAAUGAGCACAUUGAAACAUUUGCAUCUAACUUUUCCAUUUAUUUGUGGAAGUGAACCGUGACAGGUAGACGGAAUCCUCCGCAGUCCUCCCCGGAGUUACCGCGAUCCACCACUGAACGCAGGGCCUGCGGAGCCCACACUCCCCUGCUUUCGUCAGGCGCACGCUAGAGGUGGGGCUACGUGUUUGCCCUGCAUACGUAUGAUUCACUUAGUCAUCUGCAUACUCGAACACGGAUAGUAUGUUCUGGACUUGGCUUCUUCUGGAACUCUGUGAAGCACAGAGAACGCAGGAAAGAACCCAAAUGAACGCAGCCCUCCCCGCGCUGGGGAACAUGAGUUUCCUGGGGAACCAUGUAACAGGCAGGUAUGCUGAUGGGACACAGUCUUGAAAAUGUGAUUGUCAAGACACAGGCUAUGCACCUUGUAAUCUUUGAAAGACAUUGUCAAGUGGACUUCCAAAACUUUGCUCUAG